UGAAAGCAUCUAAGCAUGAAGCCCCCCUCGAGAUGAGAUUUCCCAUCACGUAAGUGAGUAAGAUCCCUAGAAGAUGACUAGGUAGAUAGGUCAGAGAUGGAAGCAUGGCGACAUGUGGAGUUGACUGAUACUAAUCGAUCGAGGACUUAACCAC
rfam:Bacillus vietnamensis strain TCD-SED5 scaffold_95, whole genome shotgun sequence.